CGCUGUGGUUGCUGUUUGCGGUGGUCUAGGGAGGAAGAAGUUGACACACUUGGUAACGGCUGCUGUCAGCCUUACACAUCCCGGGACUCACACGGUGCUUUGGAGAAGAGGUUGUUCACAACAGGUAUCCAGCAAUGAGGACCUGCUUUUGUCCCAGUUUGUUUCUCCAUUUACUGGAUGCAUUUAUGGAAGGCACAUUACAGGUCUUUGUGGGAAGAAACAGAAAGAAAUCACAAAAGCAAUUAAGAGAGCUCAAAUAAUGGGGUUUAUGCCAGUUACAUACAAGGAUCCUGCAUAUCUCAAGGACCCUAAAGUUUGUAACAUCAGAUAUCGGGAAUAAAUUCUAUCACGUUACCACUAAUAAACUUAUUUUACACUGAAGAAAUACAACUCAGUCAAUGAAGCUAAAGGAAUAAUGACAUCUCGUUCAACAAGGGACAGCAUCUAUGAUGGGGUCUCACAAGAUUAUAUUGGAGCACAUAUAGAAAGCUGAUAUAUAGCACUUGAUAUUGGCAUUACAGAUCAAAUAGGGGAAAUGACUGAUAUUCAAUAAUAAUUUGGGGACAUUUGGUUUUCCCUAUGAAAACUAAAAAGUAAAAAUACAUAUAGGUUUGUGUAAGUAUAUGUUUGCACAAUGAUAAAACUGCCUAAUGACACAUUUCUCAGAAGGUACAUAGCCUUCAUUAAGCAACUCAUAACUGUAUAAAUCUAAUCAAGAUGUCAGGUUAUCCUAAAAAAUGUCAGUCAUUAACUUGAUAUGAACUCUAUCUAGAAGUGGUUGACGUGUUUGAUAUGUUAACUUACCUUUAAUUCCUCUUGUAAUGAAGCAUACAUUUCAUUUAUCUUAUGUACCUC
rnacentral:lncRNA from 1 species